rnacentral:rRNA from 1 species
GAUGAACGCUGGCGGCGUGCCUAAUACAUGCAAGUCGAGCGAACAGGCGAGGAGCUUGCUCCUCUGACGUUAGCGGCGGACGGGUGAGUAACGCGUGGAUAACCUACCUAUAAGACUGGGAUAACUUCGGGAAACCGGAGCUAAUACCGGAUAAUAUAUUGAACCGCAUGGUUCAAUAGUGAAAGACGGUUUUGCUGUCACUUAUAGAUGGAUCCGCGCCGCAUUAGCUAGUUGGUAAGGUAACGGCUUACCAAGGCAACGAUGCGUAGCCGACCUGAGAGGGGGGUCGGCCACCCUGGAACUGAGACACGGUCCAGACUCCUACGGGAGGCAGCAGUAGGGAAUCUUCCGCAAUGGGCGAAAGCCUGACGGAGCAACGCCGCGUGAGUGAUGAAGGUCUUCGGAUCGUAAAACUCUGUUAUUAGGGAAGAACAAAUGUGUAAGUAACUAUGCACGUCUUGACGGUACCUAAUCAGAAAGCCACGGCUAACUACGUG